rnacentral:rRNA from 1 species
UGGGGAAUAUUGCACAAUGGGCGCAAGCCUGAUGCAGCCAUGCCGCGUGUAUGAAGAAGGCCUUCGGGUUGUAAAGUACUUUCAGUCGGGAGGAAGGUGUCAAGGUUAAUAACCUUGGCAAUUGACGUUACCGACAGAAGAAGCACCGGCUAACUCCGUGCCAGCAGCCGCGGUAAUACGGAGGGUGCAAGCGUUAAUCGGAAUUACUGGACGUAAAGCGCACGCAGGCGGUUGAUUGAGUCAGAUGUGAAAUCCCCGGGCUUAACCCGGGAAUUGCAUCUGAUACUGGUCAGCUAGAGUCUUGUAGAGGGGGGUAGAAUUCCAUGUGUAGCGGUGAAAUGCGUAGAGAUGUGGAGGAAUACCGGUGGCGAAGGCGGCCCCCUGGACAAAGACUGACGCUCAGGUGCGAAAGCGUGGGGAGCAAACAGG